rnacentral:ncRNA from 1 species
AAAAAUCUGUUGACGGGAAAGAGUAGUAUGUUCAGUCAAUUUACAGAGAGCCGGCGGGUGGUGAGAGCCGGUAAUUGCAUCCAUACGAAAAUCCUCCCUGAAGAGUAAUGCUGAAUUUUUUAUUAAGCAUUAACGAAUUUUCCACGUUAUAGGAAACGCGUAUGUUGGUACGUUGUAGAGCGCUCAGCAGCAGAAAUGUCGUUGGGAAUCAGGGUGGUAUCGCGGAAUUAUAAUCCGUCCCUCAU